rnacentral:rRNA from 1 species
AUUGAACGCUGGCGGCAGGCCUAACACAUGCAAGUCGAGCGGAGCGGCGGACGGGUGAGUAUUGCCUAGGAAUCUGCCUGGUAGUGGGGGAUAACGUCCGGCAACGGGCGCUAAUACCGCAUACUAUCAGAUGAGCCUAGGUCGGAUUAGCUAGUUGGUGGGUGAAAGGCCUACCAAGGCGACGGUCCGUAACUGGUCUGAGAGGAUGAUUAGUCACACUGGAACUGAGAAACGGUCCAGAAUCCGACGGGCGGCAGCAGUGGGGAAGAGUGGGCAAUGGGCGAAGGCCGGAUCCAGCCAGGCCGCGUGUGUGAAGAAGGUCGUCGGAUUGUAAAGCACUGGAAGUUGGGAGGCGUUACCAACAGAAUAAGCACCGGCGAACUUCGGGCCAGCAGCCGCGGUAAUAC